rnacentral:rRNA from 1 species
GACGAACGCUGGCGGCGUGCUUAACACAUGCAAGUCGAACGAGUGGCGAACGGGUGAGUAAUACGUGAGUAACCUGCCCUCUUUUUGGGAUAAGCCUUGGAAACGGGGUCUAAUACCGGAUAAAGGGGGAGGGGCUCGCGGCCUAUUCGCUUGUUGGUGGGGUGAUGGCCUACCAAGGCGGUGACGGGUAGCCGGCCUGAGAGGGUGACCGGCGACAUUGGCACUGAACAACGGCCCAGGCGCCUACGGGGGGGAGCAGUGUGGGAAAUUGGACCAUGGGCGAAGGCCUGAUGCAGCGUGGCCGCGUGGGGGAUUAAGGCUUUCGAGUUGUAAACCUCUUUCGCUAUCGAGCGGGUAGGGAGAGAAGAAGCGCCGGCUAACUACGUGCCAGCAGCCGCGGUAAUUC